UGGGGAAUUUUGGACAAUGGGCGCAAGCCUGAUCCAGCAAUGCCGCGUGCAGGAUGAAGGCCUUCGGGUUGUAAACUGCUUUUGUACGGAGCGAAAAGGUCUGCCCUAAUACGGGGGGCUCAUGACGGUACCGUAAGAAUAAGCACCGGCUAACUACGUGCCAGCAGCCGCGGUAAUACGUAGGGUGCGAGCGUUAAACGGAAUUACUGGGCGUAAAGCGUGCGCAGGCGGUGAUGUAAGACAGAUGUGAAAGCGCCGGGCUCAACCUGGGACCUGCAGUGGUGACUGCAUCGCUGGAGUGCGGCAGAGGGGGAUGGAAUUCCGCGUGUAGCAGUGAAAUGCGUAGAUAUGAGGAGGAACACCGAUGGCGAAGGCAAUCCCCUGGGCCUGCACUGACGCUCAUGCACGAAAGCGUGGGGAGCAAACA
rnacentral:rRNA from 1 species